CAAAAUAUAACCCCCGUAUAAUUUUUUCCCAGCAGCCGUGGUAUUACAGAGGGUGCAAGCGUUUAUGGGAAUUACUGGGGGUAAAGCGCGCGUAGGUGGUUUAUUAAGUUGGAUGUAAACGCCCGGGGCUCACCCUGGGAACUGCAUCCAAAACUGGCAGGCUAGAGUGCGGUAGAGGGUGGGGGAAUUUCCUGUGUAGCGGUAAAAUGCGUAGAUAUAGGAAGGAACACCAGUGGGGAGGGCGACCACCUGGACUGAUACUGACACUGAGGUGCGAAAGCGUGGGGAGCAAACAGGUUUAGAUCCCCUGGUAGUCCACGCCGUAAACGAUGUCAACUAGCCGUGGGAAUCCUUGAGAUUUUAGUGGCGCAGCUAACGCAUUAAGUUGACCGCCUGGGGAGUACGGCCGCAAGGUUAAAACUCAAAUGAAUUGACGGGGGCCCGCACAAGCGGUG
rnacentral:rRNA from 1 species